rnacentral:rRNA from 6 species
AAAUUGAAGAGUUUGAUCAUGGCUCAGAUUGAACGCUGGCGGCAGGCCUAACACAUGCAAGUCGAGCGGUAGCACAGAGAGCUUGCUCUCGGGUGACGAGCGGCGGACGGGUGAGUAAUGUCUGGGAAACUGCCUGAUGGAGGGGGAUAACUACUGGAAACGGUAGCUAAUACCGCAUAACGUCGCAAGACCAAAGUGGGGGACCUUCGGGCCUCAUGCCAUCAGAUGUGCCCAGAUGGGAUUAGCUGGUAGGUGGGGUAACGGCUCACCUAGGCGACGAUCCCUAGCUGGUCUGAGAGGAUGACCAGCCACACUGGAACUGAGACACGGUCCAGACUCCUACGGGAGGCAGCAGUGGGGAAUAUUGCACAAUGGGCGCAAGCCUGAUGCAGCCAUGCCGCGUGUGUGAAGAAGGCCUUCGGGUUGUAAAGCACUUUCAGCGGGGAGGAAGGCGGUGAGGUUAAUAACCUCAUCGAUUGACGUUACCCGCAGAAGAAGCACCGGCUAACUCCGUGCCAGCAGCCGCGGUAAUACGGAGGGUGCAAGCGUUAAUCGGAAUUACUGGGCGUAAAGCGCACGCAGGCGGUCUGUCAAGUCGGAUGUGAAAUCCCCGGGCUCAACCUGGGAACUGCAUUCGAAACUGGCAGGCUAGAGUCUUGUAGAGGGGGGUAGAAUUCCAGGUGUAGCGGUGAAAUGCGUAGAGAUCUGGAGGAAUACCGGUGGCGAAGGCGGCCCCCUGGACAAAGACUGACGCUCAGGUGCGAAAGCGUGGGGAGCAAACAGGAUUAGAUACCCUGGUAGUCCACGCUGUAAACGAUGUCGAUUUGGAGGUUGUGCCCUUGAGGCGUGGCUUCCGGAGCUAACGCGUUAAAUCGACCGCCUGGGGAGUACGGCCGCAAGGUUAAAACUCAAAUGAAUUGACGGGGGCCCGCACAAGCGGUGGAGCAUGUGGUUUAAUUCGAUGCAACGCGAAGAACCUUACCUGGUCUUGACAUCCACAGAACUUAGCAGAGAUGCUUUGGUGCCUUCGGGAACUGUGAGACAGGUGCUGCAUGGCUGUCGUCAGCUCGUGUUGUGAAAUGUUGGGUUAAGUCCCGCAACGAGCGCAACCCUUAUCCUUUGUUGCCAGCGGUUAGGCCGGGAACUCAAAGGAGACUGCCAGUGAUAAACUGGAGGAAGGUGGGGAUGACGUCAAGUCAUCAUGGCCCUUACGACCAGGGCUACACACGUGCUACAAUGGCAUAUACAAAGAGAAGCGACCUCGCGAGAGCAAGCGGACCUCAUAAAGUAUGUCGUAGUCCGGAUUGGAGUCUGCAACUCGACUCCAUGAAGUCGGAAUCGCUAGUAAUCGUAGAUCAGAAUGCUACGGUGAAUACGUUCCCGGGCCUUGUACACACCGCCCGUCACACCAUGGGAGUGGGUUGCAAAAGAAGUAGGUAGCUUAACCUUCGGGAGGGCGCUUACCACUUUGUGAUUCAUGACUGGGGUGAAGUCGUAACAAGGUAACCGUAGGGGAACCUGCGGUUGGAUCACCUCCUUA